rnacentral:lncRNA from 1 species
CACCUUUUCACUUCACUGAAUAACGUAUUUCAAGUGCUUCAUUGAAUAACGUAUUUCAAAUGAAAAGAUUAAUUACAUAUCAGUACACGUGUCUAUUUCAUUUAGUCAGAAGACUUCUACAGUGUUAUUCAAAGCCACUUUCACAGAUUUGCAUCUAAGCGCCAUUGCUGAGAGUUCUCUCCCUCCCCCAAUCCUCAGCAAAAAUACAUCAUGUUGGCUUUGUUAAUGGUGAAAUAUUUAGUACACUUAACCUCAGUUUCUUUUAGUGUUUUGAUGACUGCUGCCCUGCUUUCUUGCCAUGAUGAAGUGCUGGGGCUGGAGCUCCUUGUCAGAGGACUUUGCAAUAUGAAGUGAGCAGGUGCAGCCCACAGGGGCUGUGUAACCAAGGUGCUGCCAUCUGGUCUAGGGCAGAAACCUGCUGAACCCAGUAUCCUGGUUUCAAAGCAAGGAGAAGUUGCAGCGAGUUUUAUACUGAGCAUGUGAGAAAUAGGAGGGCUGUUCCCAAAGUAAUGCCUCCUGUUUUGUAAUGUUGGCACAUGACAUCAGAGGCGGAUGUUGGUGGUAUGGCAGUAGAGGCUGAACCUUCCCAUCGACAUCCUGUUACCUGUUGUUGCCAUGUGACAGAUGGCAGCAGAGGGGCAGUCUGACAGAAUGGCAUCUGACACUGAAAUGUGUAUGAAGCAAUGGAGUGUCACUGAGUUCCUUCGUGUGGAAAAAAAAACGGUACCCACUGACAUUCAUCAUAGAAACACAGAAUCAUAAAGUUGGAAAAGACUUAAGAUGAUCUUGAUCUGAACCUGGGGGAGGUUCAAGCUGGAUAUCAGGAACAAAAUUCUUCUCCAAAAAUGUGGUGAGGCAUUGCAACAGGCUGCCCAGGGAGGUGGUGGAGUCACCAUCCCUGGAGAUGUUCAGGGAAAGGAAAUGUGGCACUGAGGGACGUGGUCAGUGGGCACGGUGGGGAUGGGCUGAUGCUUAGACUAGAUAGAUGAUCUUAGAGGUCUUUUCCAGUGUUAGUGAUUCCAUGAUUCUAUGUUUCUAUGAUUCUGUGUUUCCCUAUUCUGGCAAGGAGAGCAGUGGCACAGUGUGAUGGGUAACACGGGGUUUUAUGGCCAAGUGAAAUAAUGGAUGUUGGAGUGGAGGUUACAGUGUAAACAUGCACUCAGAUACCAGAGUAAUGAACAUAGCAUAAAUAUUUAGAUGUGUUCCUACAUCUAAUUCUUGGCCUCAUAAUUCUCGUGUCAAAUAGUUUAUAAAAGGCAAAACUGUAUUUCAGUUACAGGUUCGGCUUCAUAAUUCUUAAGGUUAAUUAAGGCAGCCAAAUGUGCUUCAUGCCUGUCUGCUGUGGCUGUGUAGCUGUACAGAGUUGUGUAUCAUUAAAGGCUUUUCCUAUCAGUGACUGUAACAACAGUGACUAUCAGCACAUAUGUAUCUUAGUGUUUAGCCUAGGUGACAAGCAGCAGCAAUGUGCACUGUCCCUAUGUCUCAGAUAAACAUAAUGUCACUUGUGUGUAUGCAGCAAGUAAAGGAAGAGUUAAUGACGGCUUUAGAUCCUGAUACAUGAUGUGAACACAACUGGAACACAGGUAGCACAGAAACAGUGUGUGCCCCGAUGCCAACCUGUGCCUACUCCUCCCUCCUUCAGCUGCCCCUUGCUGUGCUCUCUGGGGACAGUGAAUAUCUCCCAGGCUGGGGCUGGCAGGGAGCAGGAAUAUCUCUGGUAGGGCUGCAUGGACAGGCCAGCAUCACACCACAGGGCAUCUCCUGGGGCCUGAGGCUGGGCUGCUCCUGAUGUCUCAGUGCCUCCUACUUGGGAUUAGAUGAGUGCCAGGCAAGGAAUCCCCCGCUGCCAGGGGAAUCCCAGCCUGGCACUUCACAGUGUUUUUAAGGAUGGCAAGGAGCCUUAUCGAGCCUCUACAUCUGCCCCAGAUGCUUUACAUUCCAGUGAUGUGCCACAGAUGUGCUGAACCCUACAGCACAAAGACUACAGCAUCUCACUGUCCCCAGGGCCAGCAGUUGCUGGUAGGCUCCAUCCCAGACACAGUGGACAGGAGCAGCGUCGUUGCCAAAGAUGUCCCAUGGAGUCAAUAGCAGGUGACACAGCCCUGCCCCUCACCUGUGUCAGCUGGACCACGCGUUGGGUGCCUCCUGUGCAGGGAACAGCAAAGUUCAGGCAAACAGAAGGGAGAGGAGGAGUGUUUUCCAGCCUGGCAGCUCUGAGAGUGCAUUGAGAGUCCAUCGUUGGGUUUCAGCUUGAGUUGCUCUGCAGUGGGGCGUGCCCUGGGGAGCAACCUGCUCCCAAAGGACUCAAUAAUUCAGCAUAUCAUCCUCCCAAGUGCUGGUGUCUCUCACCCCAGUGUUUCACCACUUCAUCGCUGCAUCAACGCAAUUCAUGCCCCAUCACUCUAUCUCCCAUUUCUUGGUGUUGCGCCCUUUUGGGGCUUCUUUCUCUUUAAGAGGAAACUCGGCGGAAGCCGAGCUAUUCAAUAUUGUUUCGUAUUAUUUGGUUGUGAAACAAUUUAAUUUGUUUAUGGCUCUAAAGGUCAGAUUUGACUGUUACCCAAAUUUCUGAAGAAUAAAGAAUGAAUCAGGCUGAAGGGGACUUUGUGGCAUGAUAAAACGGAGAAAGAGAAGGGGGCUAGUGAGAAUAUUUAACUGGAACAGCAAGGCAAACUUACCUUCAGCUCAGGUUUAAAAGCCUAGUCAAUCAUUAGACAUUUUUUAUUAUUUACCUGGUACAAAAUCCCCCCAGGAGAAGAAGUAGAAAAACUCACAGGCCACAUUCUUGCAAAUUUUAGUAGCUUGCCCAACAUUUUUUUUUUUUUUUUUCUUUUUCUUUUCUGUGAUUCAGAACAAUUUGAGUGGUACAGAUCACAUAGGUGCAUUCACAGAUCAGAAACAAGGAGGAAGCGCACGGUGGUUGCGGAUCCAAGCAGGGGAUGUUUGUAACAGUGAUGAGAGCAGGGCCAGCCCGGGACUUUGAGAAGGAAGGUGAUUCUCACACAGUGAGCAGAAGACAAAGGUUGCAUUUACACCUGGCCAGAGGUUUAAUCAUCUACCAUUUCCAAACAUUGCAGGCUCACAGUCUGUUGUGUCUGAGAUCAUAAAACAUAUCACAAACUGGAGACAAGAAAGCUGGGGCUUGAUUGACCAGAGCUUAUCUUUUCUUUUUCCUACUUCUUAUUUUUCACUCAAUUUUCUGAUUAAAAAAAAAAAGAAAGAAAGAAAGAAAGAAAGAAAGAAAGAAAGAAAGAAAGAAAGAAAGAAAGAAAGAAAGAAAGAAAAAAAAGGAAAAGAAAAAAAGAACAAGAGAGAGAAAAAAAAGCAUUUUCAAAAGGACUUGUGAUCCCUAAAUGCUUACCUGAUACAGCAGAAAACACGAUGCAAAGUAAUUCUGAAAACCAGGGAGGAUUUCUAUUCCUCUCUGCCUCCCCACUCCAGGUGCUGGGGAGCCCACCUGGCUGCCCAAAGCUCCAUCCCAGGUUUUCAGGGAGAAGAGAAACUGAGGAAAAGUGACCAAAAGGUGGAGAGAAAUAUUCAAAGAGGAAUGGGUAGAAGCCUCUCUCAUGGAUUAGUUUUCCAGGUCCUAACAUAACAACAUCCAACACUGAACCAUCUGAACCUGAAUCUGUAGGCAGCUUUCGUCUUUUUUUUGGUGUGUGGAUGUUUGAAUUAUGGCAAUGUUUUAAGGAGAAUCUGGAUGUGAUGGGAGGGGUUUUUUUUGUUUUUUUUUUUUGAAACGUUUGCAGCAUUUUUGCACUUCUUGUAUGCAGUUGGUUUCUUCUGAUCUCGUAGCCCAGCACUGCCAGUGAGGCUGGCAGGUCUGUUGGGCAAGACCAGUGACUCCCAUGGCAAAGAGAAGCCAUUGCUGUUUCCUUCUCCUGAUGGCCUCUGCAGGGUCAUUGCCCUUAGCUGAGCAACUGCAGCCAGGCUGUGGGCAGGAGCGGGGACUUAAAGCACAUGGGGUUUCCCACUGAUAGUUGUGAUGGGCUGUAGGAGUGUGGAAUGACCAGGGCAUGGCCACAGCUGUCAUCCCUCCUGAGGGCUGGGCCUGCGGUGUUCAGGAGGGACCUGGAAGAGGGGAUGUUCCUUUGCACCUCAUUUGGGUGCUUCAGUGCUGAUUCAUCAAAGCACUUAGCGCCAGGAGGAGGAACCCGCCCUGUUGGGAUGAAGGUUUGCACUGCUGACUUCAAAGGGGGCCCGAUUUAACCCUUUAACUUCAGUGGGGUUUGGGACCCUGUUUGAAGGUAAGCACAUGAUACUGCAGGGUUGGAAGGGGACAUAAAUACCUUGAAGGUCUUGAGUGUCAUCAUCAUGGUGCCUUUGUGUGUGUUCUGCCUGCCAGCUCUGUAACCACUUCAGAAAACGGGGUGGGAGCAAUGGGAGCUUCCCCAAGACAAGCUCAUCAAUCAAAGCAGGAUGGAGGGCCAUCUGCCCCUGGCAUGGCCAGGUGCCCUCAGGGUGUCCCUUGCCUUCCUGGGGCUGCCCUCGACCUGAUAAGGAGAGUGACAUCUUUGAUGUCACCUGGGGCAGCAGUCACACACAAUUGCAUAAUCAAGGUCGCAGGAAAAUUACACAAAACUUUGCCCACAUCUAUUGGAAAAAUCUGAAGCACUUGCAAAAAGAAAAAAAAAAAAAAAAGAAGAAGAAAAAGAAAAAGAAAAACCCUAACCCCAAACUCCUAUCCAUGCCACCACGCUGGAUGGAACGCUGCAGUGCUGAGCUUUCCCUUUACCAUACCCUAGAAGUUUUAAUGAAAAAAUGUAAUAUGGGCAUAAAGGCAAUUAAAAGUUCUCACUGACAGCCACAUGAACUCAGCUCUGUGGUUUUCCCUCUCUCCCCUUCAGAUAAAGUUUCAAUUACACCAUGAUAAUGUGUGAAUAUAAGACGCAAUCAUCUCAUACUUCGCAUUGCUGAGUGCUGUCUGUCUGAGGAUUUUAAGGGGUGAAUUGGGUUUCACGUGCCCUCAGGAGCUACCGAGUAUUUGCGAGGCUGCUUGCAAAAAAUGAAAUAGCUACUUUGAGAAUUUGUACAUGAAAAUAAUGAGAAGAAUUUUCGGAAUGUGUCUUGGAGAAAUUUCUGCUCUUCCGUCUUCCCCAUGUUGAUAAAAUUUACAUUGAAAAUCACUUCCCCCCUUCCCCCCCCCCCCCUUUGUUUCUUGCUGUUUUGUCCUAUCAUAUUUCUUUUUUCUUCUUUCUUUUUUCUUCUUUCUUUUUUUCUUCUUUCUUUUUUCUUUUUUCUUCUUUCUUUUCUCCUCUCUUGUUUGUGACAAAAAGCAAGUCAUGGAGGCAGCUUACAACCAAGACAUCUGUAGCAUGAAAGAGGCCAGGACUAAAAAGCGAAGCAAGAGAAGAAAAACUGAAGACAUUUUACAGAAUAACUAAGAAAAAGCUUUAGAAAGCUUAUGAAGCCCAUAAGGCCUCAUAGGUGCUGAGGGGGCCACAGGCCCAGAGCUGUUUGCCCAGCUGGGCAGGUGAGAGCCCAGUUUCCCAGCUGCCCCCAAGCGCUCUCGUCUCCUGGUGAUUCAGUGGCACGUCAUGGUAUCAGAUACAGGAUGAGGCUGUCUGCAACACCCGUCUUUCCUCUCUCUGUCACUCAAUUGGAGACAAUGAGCGACAUGCCAGAGAUUUUACAUCACCAAAAUCGGUGUGGCGCAAAGGUCCAGGCGGAGUUGCACAAUGCAUCAUGAUGCCUCUUCAGAACUCUCAAGUCUUUAAGUCUUAAGGCUGAAACGUGCAUUUCUGACUUGACUCUCUCAUGGCAUAGUACUGUCCCUGUAUUCUGAGUGGGUUCCUUCCAAAUUCUGAUCUGCUGAAACUCUCCUCAAAGCCUCUCCCACCUUCACUGACUGUUGGUAUUUCUGGUCAUGAGAAUAUUAAGACAGAAUCUUUUAGCUUCUUCCACAGACCCACAUAAAUUAAGAGCUCAAAAUAUCAUCUGCUACUCCACUGCUUUAUAAGCUCUCAAGUUGAGACGUGCCAGAAAUGAUCUUUUAUCCUGACUGCAGAAAGAGCUCAGUCUUUUUGACUUUCACAUCAUACCUGGAAGAAUGACUUACAUCUGUCUUCCUAACUUUAGAAGUCCAGUGAGCUCUUUCCCCCACUUUGGGGACAACUGAGGAAGCUGUUAGUAAACAUCCACAUUGCUUUCCUAUGCCCUGUCAUCUGAAAGACUGUUCCCCUUAAUCACAUCCAUAAACCAGGUAGCUUAAUGAUAGUACAGGAGUUUAGGUGUGAACACAAUUCAUCCUUAUUGAGUUUGCAUUGUGCUUUAGAGAACAACAGCAACAACAAAAGUUGGUCCAAGUGGGCCACCCAGAGCAGGAUGCCCAGGCCCAUGUCCAGGUGGCUUAUGAAGGUCUCCAAGGAGGAGCUUCUGGGCAGCCUGUGCCAGUGCUCUGUCACCCGCACAGCACAGAAAUGCUGCCUGGUGUUCAGUGGGAACUUCUUGUGUUCCAAGCUGUGUUCAUUGCUGCUGGCUCUGGGCACCACUGGAAGGUGCACGGCCCCAUCCUUUUUGCUCCUUGCCUUCAGGUAUUUAUAGGCAUUGGUGAGAUUCCUUGGAGCCUUCUCCUGGCUGAACAGCUUUACCUCUCUCAGCCUCUCCUCACAGGAAAGGUGCUCCAGCCCCAGUGCCAUUUUCACGGCCCUUCAUUGGACUCCCUUCAGUAUGCCCAUGCCUCUUGCAUUGGGGAACCCACAACCGAACCCAGCACUCCAGGUGUGGCCUCACCAGUGCUGAGCAGAUGGGAAUCAACAAGAAUCUGGUGAAACCCGCUCCUGACUCAUGGGAGCGGCUGGAUGGCUGCAGGGCCAUCAAAAGGAUACAGGGCUGGAAAACCAAUAAAUCCAGCAAGGCCUCUUGGCUGCUUUGUGCAGAGAUGUAACGGCACCGGCUGGAGUAUACUGCUCCUUUACAUACCUUGAGCGGCUGCUGUCACCCGCAGAACAUUUCUUGUAUCAGCAGAACUGCUCAUCGGCUAUAAUUUUUGUUGAAAUAUCUCGCUUUAAACUUAGAGAGCACCAAUGGAGGCCUCAAAUCUGUAAAUCAGCUGCACUUUGGAAAACAAAUCAUCGCGGUGGAGUUUUGCCAAGCUAAUAUUCUGUGAUCAUUCAUUAUUUGGUUUUCACUUUCUGAGCUGAUUUAAAAAGGCCGUGCUCUAACUGUACCAGUGGCCUCCAAGAUAUGAGCCUGAUUUACACUUUGAAAAUGUGAGCGGCCCCGUGGCUGUGUUUCUAGGAUGAGGAUGUGCUAUGGUGAGGACUUUCGGGGCAGCAAACACAGUACCUGUGGACAAGAUCUUGCAGGUUACUCCUACUUACCUGCUUGGCCUAGUAAAGUAUUAUCACUGACACAAGCGGUGACUUUUCCAUGUGCUACAGCAAUAGUGGUGACUGCCAGAGAAAAGAUGGUAAGACGUCUUCCACUGUGAUUUCCUAGUGGGACUUUGUGAGAAACUACGAUGGAAUAAGCAUCUACAAGAGUAAAGCAACACCUGUAAAAAGGAUAACAGAUGAGGUGUAAUGGGGACGUGGCAUUCACAUCUACGGUCCAGAAAAUGGAAAGGGUGAAGAGGAAGCACCAUGGGAAGGAUGAGAAGAAACCAAUGAAAUUAAAUGCUUAUUUAAGAAGCCAAGCAAAACACAGCUCAGUGAAACCAGGCCACUGGCCAGGUGUGGUUUCACCAGCACUGAGGACAGCAAGGGCUUUUAGCUUUUUUUCUUGGGUUUGGGGCUUUCUUUGGUUCUGGUGCUUGCUAUGGUAUUGCGGGGCAGAUCUGGUUAAAAAGAAAAAGUAAAAAUAAUAGUGAUUCAAACAUUUAUCCCGAAUCAUAAAUAAAUGUUAUUAACCUUGGUUAGAUUCUUAGCAGAAAUCAACCUACUAGGAAAAUUUUCUGAGUUUUCAGACUUCUAAACACUUCUUCUUUUUCUCUGACCAGAAACACAGGGAAGAAGGGGAGAUCAGAUUUUUUUAAUCGCCAUAGAAAGCCAGAGCUUUAACUUUGUUCUGGUCACAAAUAACAAAAUAUGGAAGUUGAAUUGCUGUUCCAUCCUAUUUUUUUGCAGUUCCUGUAAGUGUGUGCAAUUAGACAGGCUUUGAGACGAGCUCCAGAUUCUCCUUCCUUGCUCGUGUGAAAACCUUUCAGGGCUUCCUGGAGGUUAUUACAAUAAUGCUAUAGUUGCAUGUUAACAAAUACCUACCACUUCCAAGAACACAGCUAUUUACACGUCACAGGCUUUUUAAAAAACAAAGGGUCUUUCUUCAAAGGAAAAUGGGCUUCCUUGUUAUUAUUGCUGCAUCCUUGUUUCCCCGUCUUGGUGUACAGGCAAAACUGGCAUACAGGAUUUCUGCCUUGUGUACAGAAACAUAAAAUUUAGAUCUGGACUAUGUGUAUGGCUGAAAAAAAAGUUGGGAUUAUAAAAUUCUCACAUUUCAUAUUUGCCGUGGCAUAGGAUUAAGGAGAUUUAAAACAGAUGAACAGAUUCACGUAAGAACAAUUGUUAUACCUUCUUUCACUUAUAUCCUCUUUAAAUUUAUUGUGUUGCCAGAAGCAGAAUGAAGAAGCCUUUGUGUAGACUCGCAUCAGGUCUCCCAUGCUAAGAUUGCAUUGACCUUCACGAGGUGCCUGGAGGAGCAACUGCUGGAGUUGACAGGACCCUGUGUAUGCCAGCGUCUGUGGAGGUUCAGGGCUGUGUAACAGCUCACGACAUCUGCUCCAUCAUGAUGCCAAACAUCUUCAGCAAGAAAAUGGAACAGUGGCUCAACCUGCAGCUCUGCCAGAACAGCCUCCAUCUCUCUCUCCAUCAAGGUGAGCAAGGUCUGUUUCCUACCAGAGCUCGUUCUGUAGCACAUCUACAAAAGAGUGCAGUUUUUUGUGAGUUGACCCUAUUUGUAAGACCACAAACCACCCUCACAUGCCUGACACGAUGCACCAUGUCAGCAGCGACGGGAUGGAGUUGGGAAAAGCUCUGCAGGGCACAGAUGAAAUGCUCCCUGCUCUUGGUAAGACGAGGAGUGAUAACAAUAUUAUCCGGGAACUUUCCCCUUCCGCCUACCACUGCCACCUCCUCUCUCUCAAAAACACAAACAAGACAACCUGAUUUACAUGUUCAUAGCUGGGAGUGAUUGCCAGCUUAAUGAGCACUGCUAUUUAUAUCUAAAUAAUUGCACUCCUAAACAACUGCUUGGGGGGCAUCAGGAUGGAGGGAAAGAUUCUGUGCCAUGGUUUGAAGGGAUUCAGGCAGAUGUUGUCAGAAGGAGGAAUGCACAUCUCAUCCAAACUGCAAAAACAUUUUAAUGUGUUUUAGACAAACGGAGGGAAGCUGAACAAAGAGAGGCAUUGGAGCAGUGACACCGUAUAUGCAGACUUGGCACGCUUGCCAACAUGCACCAGCCUGCACCUAUUCAUAAUAACUCCUUUUGCUAAACACUUCCUUUGACCACCUCAGGUGUGGCAGCCCUAUAUGGGACAUGGGCAGCACUCUGUGCCACCUAACCCCAUGGGUUCCCAGUGCUGUCCCCAGCCCAGUGCACAAGGCAGUCCUCGCACAGCAGCUCUCCCUGCGCUGCUUUGGCUGAAUUUCUGCUGAGUGAAUCUCUUGGCUCAGUGCAGAGCUUGCAAGGCCACUUAAAUCUCUCUGACCCUUUAAUGAAGUUUUUAAAAGGGCUUCAUAAAUCUUCAUCACUAAGAAUUGCUUAAAGCCCCGCAGGAUUCCUCCAGUGGAAUUAACCACUAAAACAAGUAGACAGGCUCAGGUAUAUUUAUCACAUUCAUCUUCAUUAUUCCAUGAGUUUUCCUUCUUUCUCCUCUUAUAAAUAAGCUACAGCCAGGAAAGGGAGCAACAACUCAGUAUCACUCAUCCAGUUGCUUGUAACCUUCCACUACAGCUGAGUGAGAUCAGUCCUCUUCUUGAGUAUGCUUUCCGUGCAGGCAGCAUCUGCAUGCCCAUCUUUUACCCUUCCAUGUUUAAACCAUCAUAUUGCUCCUCACUCAGGAAGGCACCUGAUUUUUUGUCUUUCAUAUAAAAGCAUGCCUCGGGUCACAACAUGUCAGCUCCAAAAUGGAUCGGUUACCUGCCGGCCCUUCUCUUUUUUUCCUUAGAAUUUUGGCUGACUUUGGCAAUCCUUUUUUGAGAGGAAUGCCAAUCACCUCUGAAACAACUGCCAAUUUGGUGGCUAUGUGAGGGUCACUAGGAAAACACACUGUUUUUAAAAAAUUGCCUCCGUACCAUAUCAUGGUUUCCAGAGGGAACAUGUAGAUUCUGUAUGCUCUGGGUGGGCUUUUUGAUGCUUCACCUCAGGGGAAUGAGGACAGAAAAGACAUGAAUGAGAUUCACAGGUGAACAGAUAACCCAGUGGAGGUAAAGUCAGUGAAAACAGUGGGAGUGUUCCCUCCUCAUGUGAUGCUCAUGAAGGACUGCAGGUCUUCAAGAUACAGCCCAAUCCAGCCAAUCUUGAGCCACCUUUCAGGACAAUUUCAUCACAAAAUCAUGCUUUAAUGAGCCAGACCAUUUUCAAAGUUGACUUUUCAUUAGGUAUUUUGCUCAUGCCAUUCAGAAAAAGUAGAGUGCCAUGGAAAAGCUCCAUUAGAGCCAUCAUGACUCUAUCUUGCUUUUAAUUUAUUUGCAUUACGAUAAUACACUAAUCUGAGGGAGGACUGGAAAAGUGCAUGUGGGUCAGAAAAAAGAAACAUGCAUGUGUAGGCAAGCAAAGUCUUAUAAAAAAAAAUAAAAACAUGAUAUUGAAGGCUUGAAUCUAGCGAAAGCAUAAAUCAUGUGUCCCUAGUCUAGAUCAAGACUGGAAUGAGACAUGUCAACUGAUGAACAUGGUGUAGGCUCAAAAUCCAGAUUGCAUGUGAAAGGUGAGAUACCUGAGGCACUAAUGGAGAGAUCCAAAGCCAUUGUGAAUCACAGCUUCCUGCAUUUCUUGCACCUCUGGGUGCUGGAUGAGGUCAUGUUGUGAUGCUGUCACGUAUGAACAAGUUGGAUGAUUGCAUUUAAUCAUUGGAGUUGUAGGAUGGGUUAUACUACGCAAUGUGCUGUCUUCUGUAGAGCAGACGGGGACACAGUUUUACCCUAAUGUGGAGAAGAUUAGAUUUUAUCUGACUUCCUGCGUGUUAAAGGCUAUGCAAGUUCACCCAAGUGCUUGCAAAGCUGUAUUCAACAAUUUGAACUACGCUGUAGCUUUUUAGUCGAGAGACAAAAAUCACAGGCGGAGGACAGAAGCAAUCAAAGGACCAUCGUCACCUGAGGUCCAUGGAGUGGCAGGAAGCUGGAAAGAUAAGAAUGGAGGCCAGAGAGAUUUCAGCAAGUGACUCAUGGCUUUAAGAAAAGAUGGAAGAACCCUAAAUCCCAGCCAAAGUGACCUGGGAGAAGUUCUUACUCUGUCCUGAAUCACAUAUGCAUCUUAAUCCCUUGAAUGUAAGCAAAAUAAGUAAGGCUGUGCUCAGAGACCUGUAAGGAAUUGCAGCUGGGGAGCAUAGAAGGCUGCUGCCCCAUGGCCAAGGCAGCGGCUCCAACCAAAUGCCUGAUACUAACCCUGUCCAUUUAAGCCUGUCACUGACCGAAUCUUAGCCUCCUAACAAAUGUCUUUAGGGACACAGUCCUCAUGAUUUGGCUGAGGCUUUGCCUACACUGUGUUCUUCCACAAUAAAACCCGUGCGACUGCAAAUAGGAGUCGGACUCAAUGAUUUUUAUGGGUCGCUUCCAACUGGGGAUAUUCUAUGAUCCUAUGAUUCUGUGAAAUCUCUUGUGUAAAUGAGCUGGUUUGGGAUAAGAAAACAACAGUGCUGCAGCACUUCUGUACCGGGGAUUUGCAGCAGAGAUGCUACACGGCUAUAAGAAGAGCCAGGAAAGGCAAAGUCUAAGUCCAUACAAUGAACUAUCGCACCGUAGUCCCAACCAGCCCCUGCCCCAGAUGCCUGUUGCCACCUCUGUCCCACAGUUGUCACCUUCUCAGCGGUGCCAAAACAGCUGUGUGUAGGACAACGCUCAAACCAGAGCACCGAAGUACUGGAAGUUAAAAAUAAACCUCUCGCAGGAGGAGGAGAGAGGGAGAUAUUUUUAACCGUAACCACUUCAGUGGUCUUUUCUCCCGGUGUGGUCCCACGUGGAAUUCCAUUAACACGAUGGGAAGGCAGUGAUUGCAGGGCUGGCACCAGCACGGCUCCUCUGGGCAGGAGGGACCCUCCAGGAAGCCAGAGAGGGCUGCUUGACAGCACGGCACCAAAGCCAACAUGCUGCAGAAGGACCUUCCAACAUCCAGCCCCUAUACGGGUUAAAGUCAGACCCAGGUCUCCCAGACUCAACAUUUGGUCCUCGAUUCUCAUAGCCUUAGCUUUAAAACGUACUGUAUGCCAGCCAGAAUUAUUAUUAAUAGAAACAAAUCAAGAGGCGCUGAGGUUUUCUCCGUUUUAUAAAUGAAUAUUCAUUAUAACCAUUAACCUCCUCCGCAGUUUGCGGUAGCGUGGCUAGACAUCACCCACUGAAAUCUAUUCAAACACAAAACGCACGAUAAACAGGGUAAGAAACAUCAAAAGAGAUGCAAACAGGGGGGAGGGGGGAGAGCUUCAUUUAAUGAAAUUUUUUACAUAAUCAACAAAGAAAAUAUUUGUACAUUCCUUAAAUAGCUUGAAAAGUUCAAGGAAAAGCAUCCAACAAGAGUUCAGAAGGUUGCAGUGCAGAUAUGACUUGGCAAUUUGAAGAAUAAUUCAGCAACUUGCUUUUGUUUUGAUCCAGGUCAUUUUUGGGCUUCGAUGGGCACAGCCCAGCUUCCAUGCCACGGUACGGGCACCGCAGAGAUUUGCUCUGUUUGAACAAGGAUCACAUCUUGUUGAGGGACAUGGUUUAGUGAGAACUGUUGGUGAUGGGUGGAUGGUUGGACUGGGUGAUCCUGUAGGUCUUUUCCAACCUUGGUGAUUCUAUGAUUCAAUGAUCUGCUCACAUACAGGCGUCCCCUCCGGAUUGCUCCAGAGAAGCUCUGCACCAGCAGAAGUGCCAGAGAAGCAUGUAAUAUUCAGGCAGCUUUCAGACCGCCGUCAGGGUUUGAAACCAGUAAUUAAUUCUUGAAAUGGUUGGGGUUUUUUUGUUGGUUUUUUUUUUUUUUUCUGGUCUUGAAUUGUUCAUCAAAGUUUUCCAAUGAUUCUGAUUAAGUUUCAAGGCACUCCUCAGCAAAACAGCUCCGAAUAAUGAAGUUGUGUCCUGAGUCCCGAAUCCUGAAUCCUUCUCCUGGUCUGUAUGCUGGCUCACACCAGUCCCUGGAUGCCUACCUGAGCAUACAGGCAGGAUUUCAGUUAAAAUUCCUGGACUCUCGGUAUGUUCAGCACAUCCUUCAAACCUCUCCUAAUAUAUGGAGCCAAGGGCACAGUGAGUCAGUUUUGUGCUUAGAUGAUAUAUAAUUGUCUCGUGAACUCUGUACAAAUUACCUCUUCUCCGUAUUGUUUUUGCAGCGUAUUGUUUUUUCUUGAAUAAUGUGGCACACGUCCAGUUUUUAUUGCAGUCAAUAAAUUACCCCGGUUUAGAUCUGGAUGGCCCCAAAAUGAUUAACCGACAUCAACCGACACAAUGAAACCAUCCUUUUUACUACUGCCGGCAGUGUUCAUUUAGACCAUUACGCUUAUUUUUAAUCGUUAGCCCAUUUCCCUAAGAGCAUCCUUUUGCUUUCUUUCUAACCAAGAGGGGGGACCCCAGACGGGACACUUUGCUCAGCUGUAGCAGAUCUGCGACCCUAAGGCUGACACUGGGCUGUAGUGAUGUAAAGGCAAAUGCACGCCGUCACGUUUUAAUUAAAUAGGUCAGUUCGUACGGGCCCUUCUCCAGCAAAACUCCCACUGGAGCCAGGUCCUCAAUGGUGAGGCUUUAUUUACUUCUUGUGCUUUACUCAGCAGGAUUCUCCCUUCCAAAAGGAGGGCUGAUAAAAUAAUUUAGUCCGUUAAACAGCCUAUUUUUGACAUUCACACUGACAGAUACUGGGAACCCUCGUUGUGUUGGAUGCCACAACGGAGAUGUACUGCCGUUCCUUUUAGCAACGUGCAGUUGUAGGGCUGCUGGAUUCUGCCUUCAUGCAAAGAGUGGGAUGGACCCAUGGCAGCUCUCCCUCCUUCUGCUGAGUGAGGGGCCCACCGUCCCAUCCUUCUGCGCUCCCUUUCCAGCUCAGGUCAAACUAUUUGCUUUCCGAUCCCCUCUGCAGAUGCACCCAAGCCAGCUCUGCGUUCCAACAGCCCAAACGCUUGGCUUUGGUCAGUGUAUUUUUGUACAGAAUGUUUUCAGCUUUCUCGUAGGCACAGCUCCCAGCCAUUAGUUUCUCCUCUACGGGUGUAUUAAAGGAAAUGCUGUGGAAGAGGUGUCACCCUCCGGACCUCGCAGGCACGCACGGUUCCAGGCAGGCACCAGCAAAAUAUGUUUUUCUAUUUCUUGCAAGCAGAGAUGAAGUUAAUUUGUUUGGAAAAGCCCCGCCGUAGGAAAUGUCAUUCAACAAUUCUGUUGAAGCUCUCAAAAGCCAAACUGAGGAGAUAGGAAAAUGGAGCACAGCGAGAGGCAGGGUCUGGGAGUCGAGCAGUGCCUGCUACUGUAGGGAGGACCUGAAGGGUAAGAGCUUGAAGGUUCGGGCUGAAUUGCAUCCACCUUAGAGAGCACUGCCUUACGUAGUGUGUAAGAAAUGAACAUCAGCGUGAAGCUUUGCUGCCGCCUCACUUCUCUCUGUCCGUCCCAUCCUCCUGCACAGCCUCAGUGCCCACGCAGCUGCCCGGCACCUGCACCACAGAGGUGUUGGUAACACGAAGCCCAGUGUGAAACACAGGGAGCAGCCACGUUGCCCCACGGGGCGUGCACCUUUCUGCAGGGCUGCGGCAAAAGCAAGUAACGCACGCAGACCUUUAACAAGUAAAAGCUUUUCUCUGCUUUAAUUUCAUUUUUCAAUUGCUUAUUUCACAGCUAGAUAUUGCAGCUGUGCGUGGCUCAGCUUCUGUUUGAUCGUUCUAAAUAGCGGCUCAGUGCAAGACCCAGAUGCAGCCCUGCUUACAAACCCCCCCGAGGCGUUUUGGUACGCAGCUGAUGCUGUUACACUCAGGGCUCACCAAAGAUGCCUGCGUCUUUUUUUUCCCCUCCCCUUUGGAAAUAGGCGCUGUGCGGAUCCCAGCGCGUGGAUUUAGAGCCAUAGAGCAAUCGGGCAUCCCGAGUUGGAGGGGACCCGUAAGGACAACCCAGUCCAACUCGUGAGGGCUGGAUCCACCCCGCCCGUGUAAACGAACGCCGAAAAGAAAAACAGAGCCAUCGGGAUGAGUCCCACCUACUCAGCCACCGCUGUGCUAAAGCUAAAGCUUUAAUUUCUUCCCCGAGUUUUAUCAUCGAGGGUGAUAAACGGAGGAACAAAGGCAGCCCCUACGCACGCCCGGCUGCACUCGCAUCCAUCCAACCGGGGCUGAAACGGAGCAGUUCGCACCUCCAGAUGCACUCAUCUGUGAGCCUUUACGACACGCCGAAGGUGGCGAUGGGGCGGCACAGUGCAGCCUCCCGGCCCCGAGAGUCUUUUGGCACUUUCCGAUCCCGACGUCGUCCAGUAAUUAGCAAUAAAUUCGAUGUGUCGGUACCACGAAGACCGGCGCGUUCCUAAAGCAAUCGAAAAGCGCCGAUCCUUCGCGCAGCGAACGGACAAACGGUGCCGCGGGGACGGGACGGGAACGGCGGAGAUCGAGAGGGGAUCUGCGCGGGGCCGGCAGCGCUUUGGGGUGGGAUAAGGGGGGAAGGAAAGAGAAAAGGAGUACAAAAUAAGGGGGAGCGGUGGGGCGGGGGAAGGGCGAGGUGUCCCUCCGCAUCCGCACUUCUUCAUUAUCACUCUGAUGAGUUUAAUAACGGGUUCUCAGCCAGCCCUGAGAUCCCCCCGCUGCGAUGCGGCGGCUUUGGUUUGUUUCUAUUCGCUUCUUCUUUUCUUUCUCUCCUCUUUUUUUCCGCCAUCGAUCGAAUGACACUCCAGUUUCCAUACAGGACGGGGGGGGCGGCCCCCGGCACAGAUCCCGACGCUUCCAGAGGAGCAGCAACGGAGCCCCCAAAUUGUGCCGCUGCUCACGGAACGGCAAUGGGAAAUCCGUCGGCUUGGAGCAACAGAGGGGCUUUGCUGAAGUCAGACUGCAACUUCCGUGCGUGUAUAUAUCCUUAUAUACAUAUAUAUACACACAAUAUAUAUAUAUUGUAUAUAUACACAUAUAUACACGGUGUAUAUAUACUUCCAUAUACAUACGUACGCAUAUAUAUAUGUGAGUGUAUAUAUAUGUGUGAGUGUAUAUGUAUAUUUAUACACUUCGUGCGUGUAUAGAAGAUGCUAUUAUAUAUACAUGUGUGUGUAUAUACGUAAAUUGCACCUUCGGUUCAGAUUCUCCCUCGCGAACACUGUCUCCAAUGGGACUCCCGUUGCCGGCCGUGCUGGAGAUGGAAACAACAAAAAAGCCGAAGCCAAAAGCAGAGGGGAAGGCGGUGCCGGGGGCCGUGCCAGGCUGGGUGCGGUGGUUUCGCCCCGCGGAAGGCCCCCGCGGCGGUUCUUAGAGCAGGAACGGGAGCGCAGCGCUGCCCGCAGGUUUCUGAAGCAGAAAACGAAAUGUUCUUUCCGGCCCUGGGAGCCCUCAUCGAUAGGGAGAAGGGAACGCGUCAAGAUCCCCCCGAACCGCCGUGGGCUUUUAGGGAGGGAGUUCCGCCAACCGUCGGACCCGAGGGGACGGCCGGAGCUCCCGCUGCCCGGGCGAUAACGCCGGCCCCGACGUCGCAGCGCGGGGGGUGGCGGCGAUAACAGAGUAUUUGAAGGCGCUGGGAUAAGGAGCGGAGGGACGCGCGGGCGGCACGUCGGCGCUCGGGGCGCUGCGUUAUCGGCCCGGCCCCAAACGCUCCCCGCGCCGCUCGGGUACAUCGCGUUACAUAAACACCGCCCGGGGAGAGCGCGACGGUCCCCAAAGUGACCCCUCGCAGCCGGCCCGGCCCUCCCCGAGAUGAG